rnacentral:rRNA from 1 species
UACAUGUGGGGCAAGCGUUGUUCGGAAUUACUGGGCAUAAAGGGUGCGUAGGUGGCUUGUUAAGUCAGGGGUGAAAGUUUUCGGCCCAACCGGAAAUGGCCUUGAUACUGGCGAGCUCGAGUGCGUGAGGGGUAACCGGAACGAGCGUGUAGCGGUGAAUGCGUAGAUAUUGCUCGGAAGACCAACGGCGAAGGCAGGUUACUGGGCCGCAACUGGACCGCUGAGGAGCGAAAGCCAUGGGGAGCGAACAGGA